GAAGGUAGAGCUCAGCGGUAGAGCGCCUGCUUAUCAUGCUCGAGAUCCUGGGUUCAAUCCCCAGCACCUCCG
rnacentral:tRNA from 1 species